CAUUAUUAGCAUUGUUUAAAUUUUGGGGCAGAACCAUGGUCUAGAUGGAGAGAUUAUAUCUCUGGUCUAGCCUGGGAACGCCUGGGUGUCCCCAUGGAGGAGCUGGCAGAGGUGGCCAGGGAGAAGGAGGUCUGGGCAUCUCUGCCCCCGUGACCUAGACCUGGGUAAGCAGAAGAAAAUGGAUGGAUGGAAGAAUUAAGAUGACUUCUUGUAAUUGCCUGAUGCAAAAAUGCCAUGCCAUGUUGAAAAUCACGUCAGCCAUAACCACAGAUCCAUUGAACUCCACUCAUGUUCUGGUUUUAUGGUGGUGUUUUUGUCUGUGUGGAUCUUUCAAGUCAUCAUCCUGCUGUCUCUGUUAGUGGGAGCGUACAUCUACCGCAGAAUCUACAGGAAACAGAGGACACCUGAGAUUCAGGAAGCUCUGUAAACCUGGAUUAGGAACAGAAGAAGCAGAUCUCCUCUAUGCAAGCAACCAUCACUCUGUGUCUCAUUCAGACUGAAGCAUGUGAAGAAUACAACCAUCAAUAACAGAUGGCUAACAGACAACAUAAAUUUAAUUCCUCAAUCCACAAAAAAACUCAAAUAAAUCAGCCUCAUGAUUCCUGUAGAUUCGUUGAGGCACCGAGUGCUAAUUUUCAGUUGUUUCUGGUAUUCUUUCUUUUUUUAAUAUUUUAAAAAUAAUGCAAUGCUUUGAUACAGUUGUUACAAACAUGCCAACAAUGCUUUUGUGGGAAUGAUUUUAAUAAAGUUUUUGAAAUGUAAAUGUAGGUAUAUGUACUGUACGUGUGAAUGCUGAAAUAAAGUCUUUUUUUUUUUUUUUUAACUGACACACCUAAACUCACUGUUCUUGAUUGUUCUCUUAAUUAUUAUGUAACUUUUGAGUUCUAAAUUCCACAAACUAAAUCAUUCCA